GGGGCGGGGCGGGGCGCGGCGGGGCCCGCCCGGGUCUGUCAGCGUAACGGCCCGCAGCGGCGGGGCAAGGCGCGGGGAAAGAGGCGGUCGGAGCGCGAGGCUGCGGCCCGGGGACGUCCGGGGAGGGAGGCAGCGGCUACGGGAAGGACGUGAGGUGCUGCUGAAUCUGCUAGCAAAAUAAAGAAGAAAAUCAACCAUGCGAAAAUUGAAAUAAAUAAUGCAAGGAGAGCAGAAGAAUCUGGAAAAUCCAUGUGCGCCUGCUUACCUUGCUGCAGCUUGCAUGCAGACUAUGACUCCUCCCACCUCCGCGAUGUGUGUGAAGAGAUGUUUCUCCAUAUCCCCUGCAGGAAUGCUCUGAACAUUGCCUUACUCCUGAUCUAGUCUUGCCUGAGGGGCUUGGCUGGGAAAGAAAUUGAACCUUUGGACGUUUUUCUGUCUUGCAUUUCCUAGAUUCAGUGACUGACAAAUCAAUUUCAAAUCUGCCUCGAUGAUCAGAAGUGCAAAUCUUAUAAAACCUCGAGUUUUGGAUCCAGACUCUGACACUAUUCAAAUCCUCAGCUAACAGCAGGGUGCUCAGAGAAUUCAGCCAGCAGCAUGCUCCAGUUUAGAAUUUCCUGCAAGUUCAUGGCUGAGUUUCGUGAAGACCGCUCUGCCACUGACAUCUUCUCCUGGCAAUGUGACAGAAAAUAAAUUGAAUAAUAUUAUGGUCAGGUGUUACAGGCUCCAUAAUGCCAUACAUAUUGUAGGCACAUUGUGUUCUAGCUUUGGAAAAUGCUUCACAGAAAAUGGUUGUAAUAGGUGGUUAACAUCGCUCAGUACUCAGAGCAGGGCCUGAGGCCUCUGCAACUGAUUCCUUUGAAAAAGUUGGCCUACAAGGCAUCAGACCUCUUGCUGUAGGUCUAGGCUCACAACACCCAGCCAUUUCAAGUUUCCCUUUCUGCAGUCUGCUUGGCAAAAUGGGAGGAGUUUAUCCCAUGUGAACUGAAGGAAUUUUGGCAGUCUCAUCUUCUGGCGACUGGUAUGGCUAUGAGGGCUGCCCCAGCAGUUCCUGUCAAGCUGCCCUGGCUCAGUGGAGGUGCAUGAGGGUACGCAGCAUCAGCAGCUGUGACAUGGCUCUGGUUAUGCUCGCUGGGUACUGGGAACUACUGCCACGAGAGCAACAAGUUCAGCUGAACAAACUUUGCGUUGGUGAGUGGGCUUGGCCAGCCAGCACCUGGGGGUGUGGUGCUGUGACUAUCUCAUCUGGCUUAGUUUGUUAGAGAAAAUACAGCACAGUGACUUUGCUUGUAAGUCACUUUGAAGACAUUCUUUCCUGAAGCAGCAUGUCAUUGGUUUUGAGCUCACUGAAGCCCUUUCUUCUUAGACAACACCAUGGAUGUCUGUAAAGAAUUGCAUAGGGACAAGAGCAAGCAUUCAUACGAGUCUUGCUAAUUGAGUUGUUCGAGAUGCUGCUGGUUAUACAAAGACAUGCAAACAUCAACUUUACAAAACUCAUCAUAACUUGCCUGCCAGUUGUAGGGCAUGCAAGAGUGUUGGAAUCCUGCUGAGCAUGGUCACUUUUCUUUAGAGUGGUUGUGCUUUAGAGUGGAUAGUUUGUCUUUUUUCAACAGGAGACCAGAAGUCUACUGAUGCACUGUUCCUUUUAGCCAGAGGAAAAGGAUGCUGCCCAAGAAGAGCUGGAAAGAAUAAACAGGAAGCUGUAUUCCAAUGCUCUUUACAGCUGCUGUGGAGAUAAGCUUUUUCUGUCUGAAAAGAUGAAGAAUGGGUAUGUUUUCCAUGCAGUUCAAAAGAACCCACAUUUUGUUUUGCCAUGUACUCCUCAAACUGCAUGUCCCUUUCCUCCUCCUUAGAUUGUAACUGGCACAUUGAAUUAGUGAAGAUGUAUGUUUAUUGAUCAUGCUGUGCUAACCGUAUCCUUUUCUAUAAUAUUUCAGCUCCUAUGGGGAAAGGCAUGGCCAAAUUUUAAUUUAGUUUAAAACAAAUAAUCACUGCUGCAUAUUUUUGUCAUAUUAAAAACAGGUUAUUAAUUGUACCUGUAAAAAUAUUCAGAACACACUGACUACUUUGCUUUAAAAACAAAACAAAUAAACAAAACAACAACAACAACAAAAAACAACAAAGACAAAAUAAUUUUUUGACAGUCUUUUGACCAGUACAGAAACAGUAGAUUUAGUUUGGUUUCUUCCCUUAAUUUGACUUUGUCCCACAGGAGAUAAUUUUAUGUAACCAAGUCCAGAAGUUCACAGCCUAUUUGACACAACCCUUUAUUUUCAAUCCCUGUGCUAUUUAUUAAUCAGAGGAAAAACACUUGAAAAUGUAGUCUGAUGAUCAAACUAAAAUAAGAAGAGGAGAAAAAUGCAUUGAUAAAAUAAAUAUCCCAACAUAAAAUUUGUAAAACACAUAUGCCUUAGGAGCUAGACAGAUCUCCUUCCAUGGAGGUAUUUGGGUUGUGUUUAUAUUACAUUUUUUCAUAAAGGCGAUAAAUAUGAUUGCUGCUCUGAUAUUUUCUUAAAAUACAAACAAACAAAAAAAAACAACAACAAAAAGCUUUGUGAAUGGUAACGAUGAAAAUAAAGCAAGCAAAUGAGAAAGUGAUUUAUAUCAAACUUAAAGAUACUUAUCAUAAUGACCACUACAUACUGGGAAUUUCAAUAAUUAUUCUUAAUCUGCUUAAUGACUAAAUUUAAUGUGUCCUACAUAAAAAGAUAAAUCUCAGUAAGAAUCUCAGAAGAUUUGUUUUCAUUCUCUUGAUGUUUUUAAGCUUUCAUGAUCUCUAGUAACUCUGUAUUUCACGUUAGGUCAUUAACCUAAGCUCUAGCAAACUCAUUUUCUUUAUCAUCUUCCCUCCUGAAGGUUAAUGACAGAAUGCACAAAGGUGUUGAUGAGACAUACAGACUUAACUGCAUAGUCUUCAGACAAAAGAGGCCUAUUUUAAUGGAUUUUCUUAAUGUAAUGUAGUAGCACAUGAUAAAAACAGAUGUAAAAAUGUUUAAUCCAUAUGAUUAAAGCAGAACACCUCAGGACCUAGAGUAACAAUCUAGGAAAAGAAUAUAUAUAAGAGGAGCUAAUGUUAAUUUGCACUAAGCUGCUUUGGAUGACCACAAAUCAAAGCUCUGCUGUGAGCUUUUUUAUUUUUUUUAAACUGUCCAUGUAAAACAUGAAUGGCUGUCACAUUACAGUAACAACCUGGGAACAUCACUAAUAAGCUUGCUAAAAGUCAUAAUCAAUAAAGGCUAACUAUGAUCAUGCUCACCAUACAAGCAUGCGAUGUAAUUUUGACCAUGCUGGCAACAGUCCCAUCUGCAGACAAAUGCUUUAAGAUGUUAUGGAUCCCUGGUGCUGUUUUUAGAACUCUGCUAAAUUGCUGUGUGUUUUGUUGUUUAGUGGCUGAAGGGAUCAGUUGCAUGGCUCUCUUCUACAUUCCCUUAGCGUGGCAGUAAAUAAUUACCCAAGCAGAGAUGAAGAGAGGUUGUCCUGUGGACCAGUCUGAGGAGUAUGUCAAAUAUGCUCAGGCCCUGCUUGCUGCUGUCUUUUUGGCAGCAGCUGGAAGGAGCCUGGGGAAGGAAUGUGCCUUUUGUCUGGAGCAAGGCACUGGGCUUUAGUAGUAGCAGUGAUGCCUGCAGAAGGGGUGCUCAGCUUCACUUGGUCUCCGUUUAAAAGUGUGAGUUGAAGAAAUAUUAGAAAUAUUAGGUCUAGGGAGUCUAAAUUCUUUGGUGGGGAAAUACCUAUGUCUAUAUUACCUUUGAGUUGUUCACGAGCUUGAGGAAUGGAAAGCUCAUGGUUGAUAUUAAACUUGUGCACCUUAUGUGGUAGUUCAACACAGCUGUACUCAUGUUCAUACUUCCUAUAAUUCCAGUUUUCCUGAAGCAUAAAUGAUUAGGUGCUGCUGAUUUAAACCUAUAAAUGUCUAAAGCAAAAAAUGAGAUUACCAGGGACUGAACUCAGAACCAAUGAUUUAAUUUGUAACAAACGACAAGCUUUUGUUUUUUUUUUUUAAGAUUUGGAAAAAUUUAUUUAAAAAAUCAGAUCACUUCAGGGAUGAAAGGGAGAUGGAUUUAGUUUAGAAAAAAAUAUUUCCAUGGUCAUCAGCUGAAAUUGGCAAGUUUCAAAUUACUAACAGAAUCACACAGGAAUAUAACUUUUUACUUGAACUCUCUAAUCUCCAAAUUAUUAAUAAUAAUAUAACCUGGUUUGACUCAGUGAAACAUCAAAUUCUUUUAAAUGCAGAUUGGGCAGUCUAAUGUAGAAAUAUGGUUGACUCUGGAUGACUUGUUAAAUUCACCCAGCCAUCAUCAACUUUUUCACAAGGUUAUGAACAUUUAAUCAGGAAGUACACUGAAUAAACAGACAAGAAGACUGCUUCUGUAGAAUGUAGAAUGAGCUAGGAAAUGUAGAAUGAACUAUCCAAACAGCAGAAGACUGAAUAAAUGAGUCAUUGUACACAUUAAAAAAAAAAAAAAAACUUAAAACUUUUUAGAAAUUAGCUUAUGUAGCUAACAUAUUUUUCAAGACAUCAUGAUUGCUACCCAUGAAUGCCACACUCGCCAAAAAAAAACAAAGAAAAAAGAAAAAAAAAGUUUUAUUCUACACAUAAAUGGCAGUCAGUUUUUCCAUUCUCAAAUCCCAGCAACCUGAAGCUACUUGUGUCUGAAAAAAAGGCACAGGAAAAAAAUAUUGCUAUUCCUGUCAGCAAUCUCCAUGAACCUCAAAAGGUGUCAUACGUUCUCCUAGUUACCUCAGAUCAUCUUUAAAAUUCCUGCUUUUCCUUUUUUCCCCCAUGAUCUCUGUAAUAGAGACCACAUUACAAUGUAAAAGUUUAAGUACCUAAUUUUAGUACAGUUGGCCUAACCAAGUUCUAAUUCUUAAUUUGUUGAAUUAGUGCUACAGGGUAUAACACAGCACAACUGCUGCACAACUGCAACAUAACAGUUUCUCCUCUUAGCCUGUUUAUAGUCCUGUAGAUCUUAGACUUCUGGAAGUCUGCCCAUGCCUAGUGCCACCGUCUUUGUGCUGGCAUUCAGCUUGAUCACAGCCUGCAGAGGACAAGGUUUGCUCGGAAGGCAGUCAGGCACAGCAUUGGCUCAAUGCUAGUUAUUUUCAAGCUCUGCUUUGCCAAAAAGGGCCAUUUACUUGUUGAUGAAGACUAGUGUCUUUUUAAAUCUGAAUGGUGGAAAGGCUCCUCCCCAGGUGCUGAUCAGUUCUAAGUAACAUAGCUCAAAGCAGCAGUGCAGCCGCGCUUCAAUAAUCAUCCAGUUCCAAGGACUGAUGGAGUAAAAGAAGUGGUGAAGCCAGAAAUGAAGCCUUUCCUCACAGAAGAUACAAAUUAACAGCUAUGAGGUAUCUAUAUAUAAAUGAUUUUGUGGCAAACCUUUAUAAGGGUUACAUGUUUCUUGUCGUGGUCUCUGUGUGCCUCUCCCAGGCAUCAUGGGCUGGGUGUUGGUAAAGAGCAUUUCCCCUGGCCCUGGCCAGCCCCUCCUAGCACCAGCCUCGUGUCGCUUUGUGCAGCCGUGGAAAGCUUCCUCGAGGUUCUCUGCCCAGUGCUACCUAUGAGAGAUGUCGGGUCUCCAGUGUUCUCAGGAUGACAGCUUUCUUUCUCAUCCCUUUAUUUAUUAUUGUUCACAGCUGCCCUAAUUUACCCAUGGCCACAAACCCAGGUUUUUGCUUUUUUUUUAAUUAAAUUGAUGUUCACAUUGUCACCUUUUAUUAGUCUUACGAAAACUCAAACACAAAAUGUACAAAUGAGUACUAUCAUUGGAUGUCUUCUCUUCAACUAAACAAGUGUCUGUCAGCACUGAUAGUCUGAAGACCCUUUUUUUUUUUCUUUUUUUCUUUUUCUAGAAUGUUUAUGGUCUUCCCUUCAGGCAAACAUUUUUUUUUGCCUAGCUCAUCUCUGCUCCUUUCAGGCUCAUCCAUGUCUCUCUUCUUUGGCUACCCCGUAAAGUAAUGUGGGUAUGGCAAAUAAAUGUUUCAUUUCACUUGGCAGUUCACAUGUACUCAUUAGGUUGUUCUGAUGUUGUCAGGCCACAGCCAGGUGUUCUUGCAAUAGCUGUACGCAUGUUUCUUGAAUUAAUGUUUUAGGAGCUAUCCUAAAUCUGUGUGCUAUGGUAAGUGGAGUUGCUCUGUUUUUCUCUUAGGAUGUUGCCAAAACAUGCAUCUGUCUGAGCAUGUAGGAGAAAUUUUAGAAGGCACUGCAAGACUGCAGCACUUACAUGCAAGCUGAGCUGCAGGGGACUCUGUGCAGCAGUGACACCCCGGUCAGGCAGAAGUGGCUCACAGCCAAGAUCCCCAGCUGACCAGAGCGAAUGCCUGCGGUCAAAAGGUCAGAUGCAGCCUCUGAGGAAAGGGGAUCGUAUUGAUUCACUAAAACUCCAGCAUUCAGUGAGUAUAACGGCCUCCCUGAGGUCAGUGCUGCUUUUCAUUGCCCUCCGUGGGAGCUAUUUACCUAAGAGAAAAAGCAUAAGGCUGCUGUUGAGUCUCACUGUACAUCUUCUCAAUCUGUUCUAAUAUUAAACUAUUUAACUCCCUGCUUCUGAUACAGUUCAGUUCUUGUUCUUUCAGUCCAUUUGCAGAUUAAUUAUGGAAAUAGAGAAGUACAUUUUCCAGGGUGCUAUUACUAUUUAACUUCCAAAUCAGCAUUACCCUGUCUUAAGACAUGGACUUUUUGAAAGUUAAACAAUCUUUUAUCUUCCUCACUGGCUUAUCAAUCUGAAUGCAAAAUUGUGAAUACAGUGGAUUUAAAAAAAAUUGCCUUAUAUUUAUGCUCCUGACAUUUUGCAACAGACCACUCCACUGUGAAAAUGAACAAUGAAAUUAAACUGUGCCCCGUUUUUCUCCACUUUUGCACAUUGUCUGAAACUGCAUGUAAAGAGAAAUUAACCAACCUAAUAAUUUUAAUGAGUAUAGCACCAAGAUGUAAUGCGUAAAAAUAUAUAAACAAGUAAGACUAGUAAAAACAAAAGAAAAUGAAUGUGAUGAAACAGAUGUCCCAAGUCUUGUUGCUUUUGAUCUUGAUUGAACAACCUCAAAAAUCAUUCCUUCAUAGAGCUAUUUGCUAUAUUGCAUUGAUUAUCUGUUUUUUUUUGAGAGGUAUUAGCGGAUUCAAAGAAAAUACAGGCUAUGUAUUUUCUAUAUAUACAACAGACUAUGAUCCUGUCAGUCUCUACUGUAUCGUCUACAGCUAAUUUAAAUUUUCCUGGGACAAGGAAAUACCAACCAAGUAUACUUGGCUCACCUUUAGUAGGUAAUAGGCAUACCAGGUAAUCAACGCUGAUCUGCAUUAAUCUGUGUAGCAAAGCUUGUACAUGACUCUGAAGGUAGUUAAAACCUGAUGUGAGAUCAGUGCUUCUUGUAAGAACAAUUUGGCCAAUCUCAAGCUGAAGUAAAUAGAAACUAUUUUCUACCUUAACAGGAAAAAAAAAAUGAGUCUACUAGGAAAGAAUGGGCACAAUCUGCACAGCACCAACCCUCAACAACACAUCGCACUGCAAUCAUUGGGGAAUGUCAUAGCUGUGUACAAAGUUAAGAUAUAACUUGUUGCUUUCACUGGGCUGUUUACCCCUUAAGUUCUUACCCAUUGUACAAUCAGGAGGCAGAGGUAGCCCAACCAAGUAUGGAAAAAUUGCCUCGUUAUCUAAACUUGGAGCAGUUCUGCUUACCUUUUAUCAUUUCAUUGAUGCAAUCAGGAUAUUUGCAAAUAUUAGAAAGUGAAGAAAAUUGCAAUGAUGGGGAACAAUAAUUAUGAACACUAUGAAGUUAAGAGAUUCUGCAGCAUGAGGAAAGUACAUGAUGUAGUUACUUAAAAUAAUCAAUUAUUUGAAUUAUAAAUAAAUCCAAGGAGAAUUUAGCCUUCGUGGAGACUACACGUUCUCUGAAAGCAAGAAGAUAUUUUUUUGAGGGGAAGGAAGGGGAGGAAUAGAGAAGUGGUGGGAAGAAAACAUGAUAAAGUUCUGAAAUAUCUUGAUUACCUGCAUCUAAAGUAAAAAAAAAAAAAUCCUAGUCUAGGGAAUAAAGGGUAGUACAUAGUUUCACACCUUGGUAUGCCAGACUGACAAGUUUGUAAUAUAUGCACUGUUGAAUGGCCAAAGUGGUUUUGAUAUGUUUAACCUGCUUAAAACAUAUGAUCAGACUUCACAUUCAUGGUAUUUGUUUUUGAAUACCACACAGAGAAAAUAAUAAUAAAAAGAACAGGGAACAACUUUCCAUGGAUGAGACUUCCAUAUUUAUUGUUCUUCCAUGUGCAUAGAAAAUGGCAGUGAAGUUUUUUAUGAAAUAGGCAAGGAAUGGGAGAGGUGUAGAUAUACUGAACUAGACUUUGUGCUUCAAAAUUACACUAUUAAUUUUAAAAAGUUUUUUUUUUUUUUAAUUUAUAACAUUUUCUUGGAUUUUCUUUUUGUGCAUGAUGUUUCAAAUUCCUUUUAAAAUGACACACUGCAUUACAAAUGGAUGGCACUUUAAACCAACAUGGCAUUUUCAUAUUUACACCAAUGAAAGAAAUUUACACAACGUAAUAGCGUACAAUCUUGACAUUUAGUAAUAGCAAUAAAACAAGGGCAUCCGUUUUAUUUUUUCUGUACAAACUAUCAGAACAAGACUUUUAUUCACAUAAAAAAAAAUCAGCUUUAAUUUGCUCUGACCUACGCACUUUCCAAAUUCAUUUUACUCAAUUCUCAAACCUUUCAUCACUUCGCCCACACCCUCACCAGACUACAGGAACUACAAGUAAUUAUACCUAACAU